UAUUCAAAAUAGCGUGGAUGUCGGGGGA
rnacentral:piRNA from 1 species